UUACUGGGCGUAAAGCGAGCGCAGACGGUUACUUAAGCAGGAUGUGAAAUCCCCGGGCUUAACCUGGGAACUGCGUUCUGAACUGGGUGACUAGAGUGUGUCAGAGGGAGGUAGAAUUCCACGUGUAGCAGUGAAAUGCGUAGAGAUGUGGAGGAAUACCGAUGGCGAAGGCAGCCUCCUGGGAUAACACUGACGUUCAUGCUCGAAAGCGUGGGUAGCAAACAGGAUUAGAUACCCUGGUAGUCCACGCCCUAAACGAUGUCAAUUAGCUGUUGGGCAACUUGAUUGCUUAGUAGCGUAGCUAACGCGUGAAAUUGACCGCCUGGGGAGUACGGUCGCAAGAUUAAAACUCAAAGGAAUUGACGGGGACCCGCACAAGCGGUGGAUGAUGUGGAUUAAUUCGAUGCAACGCGAAGAACCUUACCUGGUCUUGACAUGUACGGAAUCCUCCAGAGACGGAGGAGUGCCUUCGGGAGCCGUAACACAGGUGCUGCAUGGCUGUCGUCAGCUCGUGUCGUGA
rnacentral:rRNA from 1 species